rnacentral:rRNA from 1 species
UACGUAGGGACCAAGCGUUGUUCGGAUUUACUGGGCGUAAAGGGCGCGUAGGCGGCGUGACAAGUCACUUGUGAAAUCUCCGGGCUUAACUCGGAACGGUCAAGUGAUACUGUUGUGCUAGAGUACAGAAGGGGCAAUCGGAAUUCUUGGUGUAGCGGUGAAAUGCGUAGAUAUCAAGAGGAACACCAGAGGCGAAGGCGGAUUGCUGGGCUGACACUGACGCUGAUGCGCGAAAGCUAGGGGAGCGAACGGG